rnacentral:rRNA from 1 species
UACAGAGGUCUCAAGCGUUGUUCGGAUUCAUUGGGCGUAAAGGGUGCGUAGGCGGCGCGGUAAGUCGGGUGUGAAAUCUCGGAGCUUAACUCCGAAACUGCAUUCGAUACUGCCGUGCUUGAGGACUGGAGAGGAGACUGGAAUUUACGGUGUAGCGGUGAAAUGCGUAGAGAUCGGGAGGAACACCGGCGGCGAAGGCGGCUGCCUGGACCAGUCCUGACGCUGAGGCGCGAAAGCUAGGGGAGCAAACAGG